rnacentral:lncRNA from 1 species
UGCAUUAUGUCAACGCUCUUUUAUUGAAGCUAAAAGUGAAGUAUGGGAUAAGUUAAGCUUUAUACAGGUCAUUUUUGUAGCAAUUAUUGCAGGCUUAGUAUGGUUUAAUACACCUUACUCAGAAUCAUCGGUAUCUGAUAGACAAGGAGUGAUUUUUUUUUGCUUUGACCUAUAUAUUUACGCGUCAAUUGAUGCAUUCUAUCAUGACAUUUCCUGCAGAAAAUAAAGUUAUUGCCAAAGAACGUUUGUCUGGUAUGUAUCGUCUUUCUGCAUACUACACUGCAAAAAAUGUAGUUGACCUUCCAGUUAUGAUAUUACCACAUGUUAUCUUGUACACGAUAAUUUAUUGGUCAGCUGGACUCAAUCGUUCUCCUGUUUUUUUGCUUGGAAUAUUUACAGUUAUUUUGACAACAGCACUUUCACAGUCGAUUGGACUUGUGAUAGGUGGUAGUAUAAAAGAUUUCAAAAAAACUUCGGCUGUUGCAGUUAUUUUCUUCCUAAGUAACCUUCUACUAGGAGGUUUCUAUAGCAAGCGAUUUCCACCAUGGUUUAAAUGGAGUAAAUAUAUAUCAGUUUACAGCUACAUUUACAACAUCUUUUUGAGAAUUGAGUUUGAAUAUGCUAAGGAAGAGUUU